UAACCGUGCAAAGGUAGCGUAAUCAUUUGUCUUUUAAAUAAAGACCGGUAUGAACGGCUAAAUGAGGACAAACCUGUCUCUUAUGGCUAAUCAGUGAAACUGAUCUUCCAGUCCAAAAGCUGGAAUAAUUACAUAAGACGAGAAGACCCUGUGGAGCUUCAAACUAACCAUUAANAAGCAAAUAAANAUGCACCUAGUGNAUAGUUUUAAGUUGGGGCGACUUUGGAACAAAAUAAAACUUCCNAGCACAGAACCACAAAUUCUAACCACGGCCAACAAGCCAAAGUUCANAAAUACAGAUCCAGUAAUACUGAUCAACGAACCAAGUUACCCCAGGGAUAACAGCGCUAUCUUCUUCAAGAGUCCNUAUCGACAAGAAGGUUUACGACCUCGAUGUUGGAUCAGGACACCCAAAUGGUGCAGCCGCUAUUAAAGGUUCGUUUGUUCAACGAU
rnacentral:rRNA from 1 species